rnacentral:rRNA from 1 species
AACGUAGGACGCGAGCGUUAUCCGGAGUUACUGGGCGUAAAGCGCGGGCAGGCGGUCUGACAAGUCUGAUGUGAAAUCUCCGGGCUUAACCGGGAGAGGCCAUUGGAAACUGACAGGCUGGAGGGCAGUAGAGGUAGGCGGAAUUCCGGGUGGAGUGGUGAAAUGCGUAGAUAUCGGGAGGAACACCAGUGGCGAAGGCGACUUCCUGGCCUGUUCUUGACGCUGAGGCGCGAAAGCUAGGGGAGCAAACGGG